rnacentral:tRNA from 1 species
GGAUUGUGGCUCAGUGGUAGAGUGCUUGCCUAGCAUGUGUGCGGUACUGUGUUCCAUCCUCAGCACCA